rnacentral:rRNA from 1 species
GUUUGAUCCUGGCUCAGAACGAACGCUGGCGGCAGGCCUAAAACAUGCAAGUCGAACGAUGUAGCAAUACAUAGUGGCGCACGGGUGAGUAACGCGUGGGAACGUACCUCUAGGUGAGGAACAACGUCGGGAAACUGACGCUAAUACCUCAUAAUAUCUUCGGAUCAAAGAUUUAUCGCCUAGAGAUCGGCCCGCGUUAGAUUAGCUUGUUGGUGAGGUAAUGGCUUACCAAGGCGACGAUCUAUAGCUGGUCUGAGAGGAUGAUCAGCCACACUGGGACUGAGACACGGCCCAGACUCCUACGGGAGGCAGCAGUUAGGAAUAUUGGACGAUGGGGGAAACCCUGAUCCAGCCAUGCCGCGUGUGUGACGAAGGCCUUAGGGUUGUAAAGCACUUUCGUCUGCGAAGAUAAUGACAGUAACAGAAGAAGAAGCUCCGGCUAAAUUCGUGCCAGCAGCCGCAGUAAUACGAAUGGAGCGAGCGUUGUUCGGAAUCACUGGGCGUAAAGCGUGCGCAGGCGGUUGUGAAAGUCAGAAGUGAAAUCCCUGGGCUCAACCCAGGAAUUGCUUUUGAAACUUCACGACUAGAGUACUGGAGGGGUUGGCGGAAUUUCGAGUGUAGCAGUGAAAUGCGUAGAUAUUCGAAGGAACACCGAUGGCGUAGGCAGCCAACUGGACAGUAACUGACGCUCAUGCACGAAAGCGUGGGGAUCAAACAGGAUUAGAUACCCUGGUAGUCCACGCCGUAAACGAUGUGUGCUAGUUGUCGGGAUCUUAGAUCUCGGUGACGCAGCUAACGCUUUAAGCACACCGCCUGGGGAGUACGGUCGCAAGAUUAAAACUCAAAGGAAUUGACG